ACCGCACCGCACGGUGAGGUCUCCUCCCGCCCUUCUCUGACGCACUUCCCCGGCGUCAGAGCGGGCCGCGGAGGGGGACCUGGUCGGGCGGUGGAGGGCCG
rfam:Actinotalea ferrariae CF5-4 contig197, whole genome shotgun sequence.